rnacentral:rRNA from 1 species
AGAGUUUGAUCCUGGCUCAGGACGAACGCUGGCGGCGCGCUUAACACAUGCAAGUCGAACGCUCUCACUCCUUCGGGGGUGGGGGAGUGGCGAACGGGUGCGUAACACGUGAGCAACCUGCCCCUGACGCGGGGGAUAACCGGGGGAAACUCCGGCUAAUACCGCAUGAGACCACGACCUCUUGGGAGGACGUGCUUAAAGGUGCUUCUCACGAGGCACUGCGCAGGGAGGGGCUCGCGGCGUAUCAGCUAGUUGGUGAGGUAACGGCUCACCAAGGCGACGACGCGUAGGGGGUCUGAGAGGAUGGCCCCCCACAUUGGGACUGAGAUACGGCCCAGACUCCUACGGGAGGCAGCAGUGGGGAAUCUUGCGCAAUGGCCGAAAGGCUGACGCAGCGACGCCGCGUGCGGGAGGAAGGCCUUCGGGUCGUAAACCGCUGUCAGUGGGGAGGAACGGCCUGGGGAGGCAAUGCCCCAGGUUUGACAGUACCCGCAGAGGAAGCACCGGCUAACUCCGUGCCAGCAGCCGCGGUAAUACGGAGGGUGCAAGCGUUGUUCGGAAUUAUUGGGCGUAAAGCGCACGUAGGCGGCUCUUUAAGUCUCGCUGUGAAAGCCUGCGGCUCAACCGCAGGAGGCCAGGGGAUACUGGAGAGCUGGAGAUAGGUAGAGGCGAGCGGAAUUCCGGGUGUAGCGGUGGAAUGCGUAGAGAUCCGGAAGAACACCAGAGGCGAAGGCGGCUCGCUGGACCUCAUCUGACGCUGAGGUGCGAAAGCGUGGGGAGCGAACAGGAUUAAAUCCCCGGGUAUCCCACGCCGUAAACAAUGGAUACUAAUGUUGGGUGGGAUCUCUUCCUUGGCUGACCUAACUAAUUAGUUACUCCUCCCGGCUGGGAAGGACGGACGAUUGGAUGACACUCGAAUUGAUUGAGGGCCGCCCGCACGGGGGAGGGAGCGUGUGAAUUAAUUCCAACCCGCAGAAACAUACUUACUCGUGUUUUGCAUGUUAAAAAAAGCACGGAGUUUUUUCGGCCCCCCUUCUGGAUUCUAGCAGGUGGUGGAUGGGUGGCCUCCGCUUCUGGCCGGGGAAGGUGGGUUUAAUCCCGGCACCAAGGGCACCCCUAGCUUGAUGUGGCUUCCAGGUGGGGUGGACGAUUCUGCGAAGCUGGCCGUGAAUAACCGGAAGAAGGUGGGGAUGAACUCCAGUCCUUCAGGCCCUUAAGGUCUGGGCUACCCACGUGCUUACAUGGCGCGGAACGAGGCGAGCGAAUGCCUGAAGGUGAACCGAUCCUCAAAAACCCGUCUCAGAUUGCAGAGUGCUCUGUGACUCUCG